rfam:Canis lupus familiaris chromosome X, whole genome shotgun sequence.
GCCUGGGUGGCUCAGUGGUUGAGCAUCUGCCUUUGGCUCAGGGCAUGAUCCUGGACUCCUGGGAUCAAGUCCCACAUCAGGCU